rnacentral:ncRNA from 1 species
CUCUUAUCGAGAAAGGUGGAGGGACUGGCCCGACGAAACCUUAGCAGCAGGCUUGAAGUACUGUGCUAAUUCCAGAAGCGUAAAGCUUAUAGAUAAGAA